CAGUAGCCACGGUAAUACGAAGGGGGCUAGCGUUGUUCGGAAUUACUGGGCGUAAAGCGCACGUAGGCGGAUAUUUAAGUCAGGGGUGAAAUCCCGCAGCUCAACUGCGGAACUGCCUUUGAUACUGGGUAUCUUGAGUAUGGAAGAGGUUAGUGGAAUUGCGAGUGUAGAGGUGAAAUUCGUAGAUAUUCGCAGGAACACCAGUGGCGAAGGCGGCUAACUGGUCCAUAACUGACGCUGAGGUGCGAAAGCGUGGGGAGCAAACAGGAUUAGAUACCCGGGUAGUCCCUGUCUCUUAUAC
rnacentral:rRNA from 1 species